rnacentral:rRNA from 1 species
UACGUAGGAUGCAAGCGUUGUCCGGAUUUAUUGGGUUUAAAGGGUGCGUAGGCGGCGUAUAAAGUUGGUGGUGAAAACGUUGGGCUUAACCGUAUACCCGCCAUUGAUACUGAUAGACUUGAGUGCGGGAGAGGGCGUUGGAAUGUGUGGUGUAGCGGUGAAAUGCUUAGAUAUCACGCAGAACACCAAUUGCGAAGGCAGAUGUCUAUGUCGUAACUGGCGCUGAGGCACGAAAGCGUGGGGAGCAAACAGG